CUUCCCGCAGGUUAGCGGGCCGGAAUCAGUCUCAACCUGUUAUUCAGGGGUUCAUAUUCACGGGUCUGAGGUUUCCUGGCGCCUCUUCGGCCUUUCACCGCCUCCUACAAGCUUGGAGGAGGCGUGGGACUUGCGUCUGACAGAGACAGGCACUCCCCAAAACCCCAGCGUCACAGCCCUGGGAAAGAGCUGUUCUCCUGUGCCUGUUCCAUUGGAGUGUGAAGUCAUGUGAGAAGGAGAGAAUUGCUGCUGCACAUCAGAAAAUCAAAUUCAAGCACUGAAUACUAGUCCAUUGUCUGGAGGGACCACAGUUUAUCCAUUCACCUACUGAAAGUCAUCUUGGUUGCUUCUAAGUUUUGGCAAUUAUAAUAAAGCUGCUGUAAACAUCUGUGUGCAGGUUUUUGUGUGAACAUGUUUUCAUCUACUUAAGCUUUGCUUCCAGAACCCCAGGAAGAAAACAAACAUGACUGCAUUUUGUUAACUGAUUAUCAUCUUGCUCCCAGGAAUGACUUACAAAAAGCUCCUACUGGUAAUGCUGAUCUAAUUUGAAUUACAGAUGGGUCCUACUUAAAGAAUGAGCAGCAGGGAAUGAACAAUAUUGGUGGAGACAUCUCUGUUUGAUUGGAUAACUGCUUAAAGAAUUAUUAGGUUUACUCUCCAGGUAUAAGACCAAGAAGUUAUCUCCAGAGAAGGACAUUUAUGAAAUCAGUUUAUCCUGAUGGAAGAUAAUAGGAGGAAGUAAAACUCCUUGUCUUAAAGGAUCUAUUUUGAGAAACGAGUGGCAGAGCAAAACAUCAGAAAAUUCAUACAGGCAAGAAACCCUGUGAAUGUAAGGAAUGUGGGAAAACUUUUAGUGCAUGUGGUCAACUUACCUGUCAGCAGAAAAUUCAUACAGGCAAGAAGCCCUGUGAAUGUUAAGGAAUGUGGGAAGGCCUUUAGACUUGAUUUUUACCUCACUGAACACAGAAGAAUACAUACAGGAAGUUCGUAUUAGGAAAUAAACCUGUUAAUGUAACUGUUAACCAAGAAUUCCAAGAACAGAGACCUGGUUGAAGAAAAAAAAAAGAAAGAAAGGAAAAAAGCGCUUUUAUUUGGGGUUUGUUAGAACUGCAGCCCAAGAAACACAAACCCAAGAAAGUACUCGAAUUGUGUUCUGCUGGACUAUAAAAUGGGGUAGGCUUAAAAAGGUAAAAAACUGCAAAGUUACAUAAGUUGUCAAGAAUUAGGAUGUGAGCUGGCAAGAGGUAAGGUGCUUGUUAAACAAGGAUGCUUUGGGGUUCACAAUGAUUACAUAAUUGUGUCAGGAGGUGGGAGACUUUUAAACUACAAGGUUGCAACUAGCAGCGGCUAGCAGAUACUGUUUGUUUUGAAAACAGCUGGUGCUGUCCUUGAGUUUAAUACAAUUCAGAGAAAAUUCAGGUUCUCAGUGAUGCAUGAAUAUGUCUCAGACCAGACCCUCAGUGUCUGCCAGAUUCCAUUUUUGUAUGCCUGAACUAUGAAUACUCCAUUAUAAUUUCAAUUUGUCAUCAAAAUAAUUGUGGGGAAGUUUUUAAUCA